rnacentral:misc_RNA from 1 species
CAGAGUUGAAAAACUCCCUAACCCUUUGUUUACAUACCUGUCCCGUUGCUUCGGCAGGCGGCCCCAGGGCGGGGCCUCCAGCCUGCGUUAGCAGGUGUCUGCCGCUGGCGAAAAACUCUUUUGUUAUAUGUACUGCUCUGAGUCACACAAAAAAAUGAAUCA